rnacentral:rRNA from 1 species
GUACACAAAAGCGCAUGUGCUGUGAGCUCGAUGAGUAGGGCGGGACACGUGGUAUCCUGUCUGAAUAUGGGGGGACCAUCCUCCAAGGCUAAAUACUCCUGACUGACCGAUAGUGAACCAGUACCGUGAGGGAAAGGCGAAAAGAACCCCGGCGAGGGGAGUGAAAAAGAACCUGAAACCGUGUACGUACAAGCAGUGGGAGCACAGGUUUACCUGUGUGACUGCGUACCUUUUGUAUAAUGGGUCAGCGACUUAUAUUCUGUAGCAAGGUUAACCGUAUAGGGGAGCCGUAGGGAAACCGAGUCUUAACCGGGCGUUAAGUUGCAGGGUAUAGACCCGAAACCCGGUGAUCUAGCCAUGGGCAGGUUGAAGGUUGGGUAACACUAACUGGAGGACCGAACCGACUAAUGUUGAAAAAUUAGCGGAUGACCUGUGGCUGGGGGUGAAAGGCCAAUCAAACCGGGAGAUAGCUGGUUCUCCCCGAAAGCUAUUUAGGUAGCGCCUCGUGAAUUCAUCUCCGGGGGUAGAGCACUGUUUCGGCUAGGGGGCCAUCCCGGCUUACCAACCCGAUGCAAACUGCGAAUACCGGAGAAUGUUAUCACGGGAGACACACGGCGGGUGCUAACGUCCGUCGUGAAGAGGGAAACAACCCAGACCGCCAGCUAAGGUCCCAAAGUCAUGGUUAAGUGGGAAACGAUGUGGGAAGGCCCAGACAGCCAGGAUGUUGGCUUAGAAGCAGCCAUCAUUUAAAGAAAGCGUAAUAGCUCACUGGUCGAGUCGGCCUGCGCGGAAGAUGUAACGGGGCUAAACCAUGCACCGAAGCUGCGGCAGCGACGCUGAUGCGUUGUUGGGUAGGGGAGCGUUCUGUAAGCCUGUGAAGGUGGCCUGUGAGGGUUGCUGGAGGUAUCAGAAGUGCGAAUGCUGACAUAAGUAACGAUAAAGCGGGUGAAAAGCCCGCUCGCCGGAAGACCAAGGGUUCCUGUCCAACGUUAAUCGGGGCAGGGUGAGUCGACCCCUAAGGCGAGGCCGAAAGGCGUAGUCGAUGGGAAACGGGUUAAUAUUCCCGUACUUGGUGUUACUGCGAAGGGGGGACGGAGAAGGCUAUGUUGGCCGGGCGACGGUUGUCCCGGUUUAAGCGUGUAGGUGUGUGUUCCAGGUAAAUCCGGUUCACUUUAACACUGAGGCGUGAUGACGAGGCACUACGGUGCUGAAGCAACAAAUGCCCUGCUUCCAGGAAAAGCCUCUAAGCAUCAGGUAACAUCAAAUCGUACCCCAAACCGACACAGGUGGUCAGGUAGAGAAUACCAAGGCGCUUGAGAGAACUCGGGUGAAGGAACUAGGCAAAAUGGUGCCGUAACUUCGGGAGAAGGCACGCUGACACGUAGGUGAAGUGAUUUACUCAUGGAGCUGAAGUCAGUCGAAGAUACCAGCUGGCUGCAACUGUUUAUUAAAAACACAGCACUGUGCAAACACGAAAGUGGACGUAUACGGUGUGACGCCUGCCCGGUGCCGGAAGGUUAAUUGAUGGGGUCAGCGCAAGCGAAGCUCCUGAUCGAAGCCCCGGUAAACGGCGGCCGUAACUAUAACGGUCCUAAGGUAGCGAAAUUCCUUGUCGGGUAAGUUCCGACCUGCACGAAUGGCGUAAUGAUGGCCAGGCUGUCUCCACCCGAGACUCAGUGAAAUUGAACUCGCUGUGAAGAUGCAGUGUACCCGCGGCAAGACGGAAAGACCCCGUGAACCUUUACUAUAGCUUGACACUGAACAUUGAGCCUUGAUGUGUAGGAUAGGUGGGAGGCUUUGAAGCGUGGACGCCAGUCUGCAUGGAGCCGGCCUUGAAAUACCACCCUUUAAUGUUUGAUGUUCUAACGUGGACCCGUGAUCCGGGUUGCGGACAGUGUCUGGUGGGUAGUUUGACUGGGGCGGUCUCCUCCUAAAGAGUAACGGAGGAGCACGAAGGUUGGCUAAUCCUGGUCGGACAUCAGGAGGUUAGUGCAAUGGCAUAAGCCAGCUUGACUGCGAGCGUGACGGCGCGAGCAGGUGCGAAAGCAGGUCAUAGUGAUCCGGUGGUUCUGAAUGGAAGGGCCAUCGCUCAACGGAUAAAAGGUACUCCGGGGAUAACAGGCUGAUACCGCCCAAGAGUUCAUAUCGACGGCGGUGUUUGGCACCUCGAUGUCGGCUCAUCACAUCCUGGGGCUGAAGUAGGUCCCAAGGGUAUGGCUGUUCGCCAUUUAAAGUGGUACGCGAGCUGGGUUUAGAACGUCGUGAGACAGUUCGGUCCCUAUCUGCCGUGGGCGCUGGAGAACUGAGGGGGGCUGCUCCUAGUACGAGAGGACCGGAGUGGACGCAUCACUGGUGUUCGGGUUGUCAUGCCAAUGGCACUGCCCGGUAGCUAAAUGCGGAAGAGAUAAGUGCUGAAAGCAUCUAAGCACGAAACUUGCCCCGAGAUGAGUUCUCCCUGAGACUUAGAGUCUCCUGAAGGAACGUUGAAGACGACGACGUUGAUAGGCCGGGUGUGUAAGCGCAGCGAUGCGUUGAGCUAACCGGUACUAAUGAACCGUGAGGCUUAACCUUACAACGCCGAAG